rnacentral:rRNA from 1 species
ACGCUCGACACCUACGGGGAGGCAGCAGUGGGGGAAUAUUGCACGAAUGGGGGGAAACCCUGGAUGCAGCGACGCCGCGUGGAGGAAGAAGGUCUUCGGAUUGUAAACUCCUGUUGUUGGGGAAAAAGAGGAUGGUACCCAACAAGGAAGUGACGGCUAACUACGUGUCAGCAGCCGCGGUAAUCUGAGGCGGGCUGGCGAAGGC